rnacentral:rRNA from 1 species
UACGUAGGGUGCAAACGUUGUUCGGAAUCACUGGGCAUAAAGAGCGCGUAGGCGGUCUGACAAGUCCCCUGUGAAAGCCCCCGGCUUAACCGGGGAACUGCAUGGGAUACUGUUGGGCUAGAGUGCAGGAGGGGAGAGCGGAAUUCCUGGUGGAGCGGUGAAAUGCGUAGAUAUCAGGAGGAACGCCGGCGGCGAAAGCGACUCUCUGGCCUGUAACUGACGCUGAGGCGCGAAAGCUAGGGGAGCAAACGGGAUUAGAUACCCCGGUAGUCCUAGCCCUAAACGAUGGGUACUAAGUAGAGGGAACUCCGAUGUUCUCUCUGCCGGAGCUAAUGUAUUAAGUACCCCGCCUGGGGAGUAUGGUCGCAAGGCUAAA